GAAAAAGCUUCUUGUGUACUCAAAAUUGAACAGAGCUACCUUUUGACUAAAAAUGUCAUUUUUAAUGAGCAGUAUUUUCUGAACACAAAAUUUUGUACAAGAGUGUCUCCAUUGCAUUAAUUUAAUUUUGUUAUAAUUUUUUCCCAAUGAAAGGAAAAAAGUAUUUUGUAGCUCCUCUUCCUUAUGUAAAUUCUUAACAUAUAUUUUUGAGAAAUUUGCAUUUUUUAAAGUAAAAUUGUUAUCUUUGGAUACUUACUUUUCUUUGUUUUCCUCAUUUAAAGAGAAUAGGGAUAUUUCUGUAUUAUAUAUUUACUGUUUCAUCCCUCACCUUUGGAGUGACCAUGACCUUGGCAUGAAGGAGAGAAACCUCUGCUUUCCGCCUAUUGCUUCCAGGAGUUACUACCUUACUGGCCUUGGAGAUAAUGCUCUUUUGUGCCAACCUGAGGAUAAUUUUAACAAAAUGUAAGGCCAGUUUCAGAGGUUGUUUUGCCCCACAGAGAGACUAAUCCCAAUACAAGAAUAUUGACAACAAAAGGACAAAGUAGUUAUUGCACAGGACGGAAAGGUGUCUUUAUUUCAUCCCCUCCCCACUUCCAAAGAUGCAAAAGGCCUAAUUGAAUCAAGUCUCCUUUCCAUCUGGCAGGAGACAUUUUAAUAAGGACUUUUUAAUUUCCUACAUUUCUUGGCCAAGUGUCAUAGGAAUGUGGCCUCUUUUGAAAUUUAAAAAUGAAGAAGAAAAAAAGAGCAACACUAAGUUAAUAUAAUGGAGCAGAUACUUUUAAUGUUCUUACCAUUGAAUAUGCCAUUUAAGUUUGUUAUACUUGAAAUUAUAUGAUUUUUGUCCAGCUCUCUAAAUUGUCAUCUCCAAUAGAUUUAGAUGCUUCAAAUAGUAACCACAUUACUGUGAUAGGUAUUAUUAGAAAAAAGUUAUUUCUUGAGUUACACCUAAGAGGAAGAAGUAACAUGAUGGAAAGUGGUUGGAGAUAGCACCCAAUUAACAUCGACAGCCAAGUCUUCUAUUUCAGAAUAUUGAUUUAUUUCGCUUUGGCUUUUGAUGCCAUCAUGAGAUUUAAGUCUGCAGUUUCAAAAGCUCAUGCUACUUAGAUGAUUUUUGCAGCUUAAAAAAUUGCUUGUGACUGCAGUAUGUACACAGUUAAAAAGCUGUUCACUGCCCCUUUCAACCUUUUCAUUUUGAGCUUUACUAAGAGAAUGCUUUUAGGAACAGAAUUCCUAAAGUGUAAUUUUUUAUGUAUAAAUAAAGUUUUAUCUAUAUCUGAGAA
rnacentral:lncRNA from 1 species